UACGUAGGGGGCUAGCGUUGUCCGGAUUUAUUGGGCGUAAAGAGCUCGUAGGCGGCUUAUCACGUCUGCUGUGAAAACUCGGGGCUCAACCCCGAGCCUGCAGUGGAUACGGGCUAGCUAGAGUGCGGUAGGGGAGACUGGAAUUCCUGGUGUAGCGGUGAAAUGCGCAGAUAUCAGGAGGAACACCGGUGGCGAAGGCGGGUCUCUGGACCGAUACUGACGCUGAGGAGCGAAAGCGUGGGGAGCGAACAGG
rnacentral:rRNA from 1 species